GAACCUUCGGGGGACGAUAACGGCGUCGAGCGGCGGACGGGUGAGUAAUGCCUAGGAAAUUGCCCUGAUGUGGGGGAUAACCAUUGGAAACGAUGGCUAAUACCGCAUAACACCUUCGGGUCAAAGAGGGGGACCUUCGGGCCUCUCGCGUCAGGAUAUGCCUAGGUGGGAUUAGCUAGUUGGUGAGGUAAUGGCUCACCAAGGCGACGAUCCCUAGCUGGUCUGAGAGGAUGAUCAGCCACACUGGAACUGAGACACGGUCCAGACUCCUACGGGAGGCAGCAGUGGGGAAUAUUGCACAAUGGGCGCAAGCCUGAUGCAGCCAUGCCGCGUGUGUGAAGAAGGCCUUCGGGUUGUAAAGCACUUUCAGUCGUGAGGAAGGUAGUGUAGUUAAUAGCUGCAUUAUUUGACGUUAGCGACAGAAGAAGCACCGGCUAACUCCGUGCCAGCAGCCGCGGUAAUACGGAGGGUGCGAGCGUUAAUCGGAAUUACUGGGCGU
rnacentral:rRNA from 1 species